rnacentral:rRNA from 1 species
UACGGGGGGAGCAAGCGUUGUUCGGAUUUACUGGGCGUAAAGGGCGCGUAGGCGGUCACGACAAGUCAGUUGUGAAAUCUCCGGGCUUAACUCGGAACGGUCAACUGAUACUGUCGGACUAGGGUGCAGAAGGGGCAACUGGAAUUCUCGGUGUAGCGGUGAAAUGCGUAGAUAUCGAGAGGAACACCUGCGGCGAAGGCGGGUUGCUGGGCUGACACUGACGCUGAGGCGCGAAAGCUAGGGGAGCGAACGGG